AUUGAACGCUGGCGGCAGGCCUAACACAUGCAAGUCGAGCGGCAGCGGGAAAGUAGCUUGCUACUUUUGCCGGCGAGCGGCGGACGGGUGAGUAAUGCCUGGGAAAUUGCCCAGUCGAGGGGGAUAACAGUUGGAAACGACUGCUAAUACCGCAUACGCCCUACGGGGGAAAGCAGGGGACCUUCGGGCCUUGCGCGAUUGGAUAUGCCCAGGUGGGAUUAGCUAGUUGGUGAGGUAAUGGCUCACCAAGGCGACGAUCCCUAGCUGGUCUGGGAGGCUGAUCAGCCACACUGGAACUGAGACACGGUCCAGACUCCUACGGGAGGCAGCAGUGGGGAAUAUUGCACAAUGGGGGAAACCCUGAUGCAGCCAUGCCGCGUGUGUGAAGAAGGCCUUCGGGUUGUAAAGCACUUUCAGUGAGGAGGAAAAGUUGAUGCCUAAUACGUAUCAACUGUGACGUUACUCGUAGAAGAAGCACCGGCUAACUCCGUGCCAGCAGCCGCGGUAA
rnacentral:rRNA from 1 species